rnacentral:rRNA from 1 species
AUUGAACGCUGGCGGCAGGCUUAACACAUGCAAGUCGAACGAGUGGCGGACGGGUGAGUAAUGCUUGGGAAUCUAGCUUAUGGAGGGGGAUAACUACGGGAAACUGUAGCUAAUACCGCGUACCAUAGGAUGAGCCCAAGUGGGAUUAGGUAGGUGGUGAGGUAAAGGCUCACCAAGCCGACGAUCUCUAGCAGGUCUGAGCGGAUGACCAGGCACAACUGGAAUGAGGAACAGGCCAGACUCCUAACGGGAGCCGCAGGUGGGAAUUUUGCCGAAUUGGGGCAACCUGGCGCAGCCAUGCCCGGUUGAUUAAGAAGGCCCUCGGGGUGUAAAGUUUUUUCCGGAGCGAGGCGUUAACUACAGAAGAAGCACCGGCUAACUCCGUGCCAGCCGCCGCGGUAAUUC